UUCUUUCAUAUGCUAGAUAUUUCUUGCCUUGAUAAUUUGUUUGCCUACAAAACACCUAUGCAUAGGAAGUAUGUUAGACUUAAAUGUGUUUGUCACAAGUUUUAUGAUGCUCUCUUUGUAUUCAAUUCUUGACUUUCAUGUGAGCAUCGUUAAAUUUGCAAGCCUAUCUUAAUGGCUAUAAAGAAAGAGCUUGUUGGGAGGCAACCCAAUGGACAAAAUAAAUUUUCUCUUUUUCUUUCUAUUCUUGAGUGUUUGUACAACGAUGCUACUAUUAUAAUUGUGCUUUUAUGUUUUAAUUAGUGUUUGAGCCAAGUAAAGCCUUUGGGAUCAUGUUGGGCGAUAGUUUAUUUGAUCUUGUUGAAAAACAGAAACUUCCGCGUCCAGUAGCAGAAUUUUUAAAAAACACAGAAGCGCGAUAAAAUUCUGAUUUUUUUACAAAAGAUUCAUAUACAAAUUGUGUCGGUGAGAACGACACCUAUUGGAUCACAAGAAUCCCUACUACGGUUGGCGGGGCGCGUGAUUGUGAGAAGAGCAGGUCUAACAGGAAGCACAUGGAUCGUUUACCCAGGUUCGGGCCGCGAGGAUGCGUAAUACCCUAGUACUGCUUUGGUGGAUGUAUUGAGUGUUCUUGUGUUCUUGAGCUAGCUACAAGGUGCAACAUGCCCAAAAGAGCCGAAUCCCCCUCCAGUACGCCAUGGGCCUCCUUUUAUAGUUGAAAGGGGCUGCCACAGUGGCACACACGAGGUGUAAAGGUCUACAGUGCUGCGAGCUUAUCGCCCGUGUUAUAGGACAAGACGCAUUUAAUGCAUCGCUUAGGUGUCCCCUUGCUUUAUCGGGGACGGGAACGAAGCCCGUCCCGUCUGUCGCCGCCUCGCCUUGCUUUGUCACGCGCCCAGGCCAGCGAUGCAUGCGGCGCCAUGUAGGCAGGCAGGCAGCUGAGGUGGCACGGUGGUAGGGUCUUCACGAAGAUCUGCAUGCCACCACGCAGGUGGUUGCUGAGUUGGCUUGGAAGCCGGCCGUCGCCACGCAGGUGCCUACCCAGCUAGUUGAGCUAGCAGCCGCUUGGGGACGCGGUGGAGUCUUGGUCGACGCGGGCCUGCCUGUGGCCUCACUGAUGUUCUCGGCAAGGGCCUUGCCGGGGGCCCGGCAAGGGUCUUGCCGUGGCAUUGCAGUCGUCCUCGGCAAGGAUCUUGCCGGGGGUCUUGUGGCUUUCCUCAGCAAGGAUCUUCUCGAGGGUCGUCGUCUUCUGGUCCUCAUUUGAUCUUGUGUGUUUAUGAUCUUGACAAAGAUCUGCAUGCCACCGCAGAGCUGCUUCCCGAGCCCUGGUCCCAAUGUGGUUGGUUUGUUGGAACUCGUGGGCUCAAGGGCGGCUCGCUCUAUUGGUGUUGGGCAAGUUGCCCUGGCAAGGCCAUUGCCGCGGCUGCGGAGGCCGCCCCGGAAAGGACCUUGCCGGGGGGUCCACCUCGCCCUCUUGCUCUUUGGUGUUGUCUUGGCUGUCGUGUGCUUCGGCUUCUGUCCGGCUUCCCUUGUUUGCCCUGCUACGUGCAGCCGUGGCGCGUGGCUCGGACUGCCCGUGCACAAGUAAAGGGGUCAAGAGAGCCCCUACUUUUGUACACCGAUAGGAGCCCCCGGGCCUGGGCCACACAUAAGCGCGACACGUUGUUGGGCCAGGCCCAGAAUGGUGCGCGGGCAGGCGGGGCGGAUUUUACCGCGGUAACUGUUCGAUCGCUGCGCUUCCCCACGACUCGCGUUGAACGCGCGACGUGGGGGGUCAUGCGUGACGUGGGGGUCAUGCGCAAUGCGGUUCCCGCACGCAUGCGUCACGUCGCAGUUAAUGGAAUAGGAGGCGGCCCGCGCCUUCCCCGUAAAAAGGGAUAACCGCGGGCGCGCUGCUCACUUUACCCCCCUUCCUGCGUCUUCUCCAAUCUCAGAGCCGUCGCUCCCUUUCUCCUUCCUUCCCAAGCUCUCGCCUUUGCUCGCUGUCACUGCAUCUUUGCUGUCUUCUGUCCCCCGCCCCUCGCAGCCGCCAUGGCCCCCAAAUCUACCAAGAGCAAGGAAGUGGCCAAGGACGCCGGAGCGGCGGAGCCGCCGGAGAGUGUGUUGGCGGCGUAGCGGAUCCAGCUCGCCUACUUCCCCUCGACGGUCGAUGUGUUCGAGCUCCGGGACUGCUUCAAGCCCCUAUGGGGGUGCAAGACGGGGGGCGGGGGAGAAGACGGGGCAUCCAGCCACGCGUGUCAUCCCCGCCAAUUGUGUCGAGGCCGCCUCAAAUAUGCAUCCAUUCUUCGUUGAUUACUUCUCUUGCGGCCUCUGCCCCCCCUUCUCUGAUUUCUUCAACGACGUCAUGCACACCUACGGCUUCCACCUUUUGGAUUUUACUCCAAAUGCCGUGGUGUGCAUGGCUCUUUUGGCGCACCUCUGCGAGGGUUUCGCCGGGGUGCAUCCCAACACGGCACUCUUCCGCCACUACUUCUUCCCUCGGAUCCAACCGGGGGGCGCCAUUUCCGGUUGCGUCGCCUGGAUCCCACAGUCCAAGGGGGCAUACCCGGAGGGCGCUCAGAAGGAGAGGUGGGAAGAAUGGCGGGGCCGGUGGUGCUGGAUUGAGGAGGAUGAUCCACAAGAUUUCUGCCGGGUUCGCCAGGCGCCGCCGGUUCGGCGGAGCGACUGGAGCAAUGUUGAUGCCGAUGAUGCAAAGCUCACGGUCGCCACCACCAGAAUUCUUCGCCUCACCGAGGUCGGGCUCACCCUUGAGAUGAUCGGGGCUGAUUUCAUCCGCCACCUAAUCACUCCGCUGCACAACAAGGGGAGGCUGGUCUGGCUCUUCACAAACGCCGCCGACAUCAUGAGGCUCCACCCCGGCCUCGACCACAAACUCACGGUGAUAAGGCACGCCCAUCUCUGCCAACGGCUCUUCCAGCUCGACGUGAACCGCGAUGGCGAGGUCGAGCGGUCUGGCAAGGCCGCGAGGGCCUCCGCGAAGGCCGGCAAGGCCGCCAAGGGGCCCUUGUUUAAGUUGCCGGCAGGAGUGGUCCCGCUAUGCAACAACUCUCGCCGGACCGACAUCAUCGCCAUGAUGCCAGACUUCAACGCGCAUGGUCUCGACCCGAGCUGGGUCGAGCUGGAGGAAAUUCAAGUGUAGGAGUUCUUCGACACCUUGCAUCAGGGGUACGUCACCGCCGAACCGCGGCUUGUCCAGGACACCUCCCAGGCGGAGCUGGACUACAUCGCCGCUAGGGCGAUGGAGGUGAAGCUUGCCGAGGAGGCCGGCAGCACCCGUGGCGUGGAGGACAAGGCUGCGGCGGAAGUGGAGGAGAAGGAGCUCGCCCAGUGGGCGGAGGCCGCUGGGGAGGCCAGCAGCGCCGGCACCUUGGCUCCUCUCGUCGAGGAUGUGGUCGAUGAGUCGUCAUCGGAGGAGGCCGAAGCUGUCGACCCUCCGGCCACGGGGAGAGGGCGAGUCAUGCGGCGGGCCACUUCCGGUGAGCCGGUCUGGCCUGUCAAGGCCGCGUAGUGGCCGAAGGCUCCGGAGGAGUCCGCGCGUCAGACUAGGGCCACGGCGGCGAAGAAGGUGGUGAAGGCCGUGGUGGCGAAGAAGAAAGCAUCUGCCUCCUCUUCAUCCAAGCACAUCCAGACUCCGCCCUCCUCCCCUCCUUCGGCAGAUGUCGAUGCAGAGGUCACCUUUGACUUCGGGUCCCUUAGCCCAAGAAGGAAGAGGAAGGCAACCGAGGAGGAGGUGGAUGACGAGUAAGUAUCUUGUUCCUUUUUUUGUCAUCUUCGACUCCCAAAUCUGUGCCGCUUGUCUUGACUUGUUUUCACCUUUGCAGGGAUGCGGAGACGCUGGCCCAGAGGGUAAAGAGGGCCAAGGCCUCGGCGGGUGGCCAGCCCCCAGCGGGUACUUCGAGGGUGCCAGUGGUGGUGUUGAGCAGCCCGGACAGCAACCCCCAGCGUAAGUUCAUCACUCACCCCUUGUCAACAUGUGUUGGGGGUACGAUCUCCUGGUGCUGACCUUGUCGUGGUCGCAGGAGGAGGACAACAGCAGGAGGAGCCACAGAGGGCCACCCCCAACACGCUGCCCCCAUCGACCACGCUGCCCCCAUCGACCACGCCGCCCCGAGGGGCGUCCCCGGCAAGGGCGCCAAGCACCGAGCCCACGCACAUGGAGGAGGAGGAGGAGACCUCGGGCGCCGGUGGCUUCGCCUCGGCGCCAAAUGUUGGCGGGGAGGGGACCUCUGCUUUCCAGCCCGGCGCCGGUAAGUCGCUCGCCUCUCGUUCAUGUUCUUUUUAUUUCCUUGCUGGCUCUUGGUCUUGGCUUUCUCUCAUCCCCUUCCUGGUAUCCAGAUCGUCCGUCGGCGGACCAGGAGGACAUAGACACUGUCAUGGAGGACGUCGCCAAGGCCCCCGAGGCGGAGGCCGAGAAGAUCGCCGCCGAGGAGGCCGCCAAGGGCGCUGGUGAGGACGCCGCCAAGGGGCCUGCCGGGGAGCCCGACAAGGCUACUGCCGAGGAGGCCGGCAAGGGACCUGCCGGGGAGGCCGGCAAGGCCGUCGCCGAGGAGGAGGUGGUUGAUGACCAGCCUUCCUCCUCCGCCGCCUCUGCCUCCGGCAGGUAUCUGAGGGUGAGUGAGGACCUUUUUGUCAACCUCCCAGGGGCGUCCAGCUCCAGGGCGCCCAUCGAGGGAGAGGUGUUCGACGAAGAGGUGCUUGCCGCCGCCGGGCUCGAGGUCGUCGACGAGCCGAGCGCCGGUAGCGACGGAUCUCGGGAGGAGCGGCUUCUCCAGGCUAUGGGCGCCAAUUUUUGGAAGCUCCAGGUGCUCCACCGCGUCCGCUGGACAAGGCCAAGUCCAGGAUCGCAACGGUGGACAAGGCGGAGGCGGACCUCAAUGUGCGUGUCGUCGAGGCGCAGACUUGGUUCUGCCAAGCUAGCAAAGAGCUGAAGGCCACCCAGGGAGAGCUGUCCAAGCGCGACGUGGGGCUCACCAUGAAGCAGGCCGACAUCGAGAAGGCCCAGGAGACGGCGGAGAACUUGGCCGCCGCAGCCGAGGCCGCUCGAACCCAUCACCAGGCCGCGCUGAACUCCCAGGAGGAGGUCCUUGCCGCGCGUGAGGAGAAGCUUGCCGCAACGCUCCGCGGCAAGGAUGAUGAGGUGGAGAAGCUCGUCGUGCAGUGGACCCAAGAGCUGGAGCAAAGGCAUAGGGAGGCACUCAAUGCCCAGGCUCUGGUUCAUGCUGGCAAGGUGAAGGAGCUGGGUGUAGGACGAGCUGAAGAAGCAGGCCCUGGAGCUGAUGUGGGAGAGGGAUGCGGCCAAGGGUGCCUUGGCUGACGUGCAGGCCGCGGUCCUCGGCAAGGCCGAGCUGCUCUACACUGCCAACAACUCCAUCAAGGACUUGAAGCUGAAGCUGGAAGUCCUUGAGGGGAUGCUCUCAGAGGCCAAGGCCCGGGAGGGGACCCUGGCCAAGGAGCUGGAGACCGAGAAGCAGCUGCGGAAGAACGAGGCCGCCAACCAUGAGGAUUCCAUGGAGGGUGUGAACCGCUGGAUCGGCCGUCUCGUGGAUGUCGCUGGCAGGAUCACCAUGCAGCUGGCUACCAUGGGGAUGCCAAAUGUGAGGUACGGCCCAGAGCGCAGCGGGACUACCAACGGCAAGCUGACCCUGUUCUUCGAGGGCGUCCAUGGGGCCCUGGAGCAGCUUUACUCCAACCGGGUGGCCUCCCUGGCCGAUGAGUCCCGGAGACUUUGCCGGGGUGCCAUGACCAAGGUCCUCACCAAGGUGGCGUACUGGUAUCCUGACCUCGAUUUCGACGCCGCACUAGAGAGCUUGCCGGAGGAUGCUGACCUCGCGCCGCUCAAGGAGCAUAUCAAGCCCAUCAUCAGCGGUAUCGACAGAAUCCAGUGGGUGGAGGGCCAGCACCGGGAUUAGGCAUCCCGUUUCGUAUCGUCGCUGCAGGUUCAUUACCAAGACAAUUUCUAUCUUUAGAUAGAACCGCGGCGGCAAUUGAUGUAAUAUAACUCUGCAGUACUUUUGAUAUUAUGCAUGUUAUUUUCCUGUUCGAUCUCUCUUUGUAUGUCCACCCUACGUUUAUCGGGUAGGCUUGCCAGCGCGUAAACCCAGGGCGGCGUCUUGGGGAUGGAUCCCCAAUGGCCUGCCGGGUGUGCUUGCGGCCAGGCGAACCACCUUACCGCCCUUAACGCGGCCGCUCGAACUGUCGAGCUUGACUCGAGUCAGAAUCGAGAGCGUUGCCAAUUGCGGAAGGCUACCCUGCCGCUCUCGACGCGGUCGCUUGAGCUGUUGAGCGGACUCGAACAGAACAAGGGUGUUGCCAAUCGCGGGAGGGCCCCUUUGCGGGUAGGUUUUCCAUAUAAAGAACGAGACCUCCGAGGGGAAUAACCUCAUAUAUAAAAAGGAAAUACUUAAAGUUCGGCAUGACUUAGCUUUUCUGUCGUCGCACGGGCAUCCACCACAUGCACGGAUGGUGCCGUCAAGCUCGAUCGUCUUCUUCCUUGGAACGAUGGCCGCCAUGAACCCGCUGCUUCGAUUAGACCAGAUUUUCACAACCGCGUUCCCCUACCUAGCGCGCCAAGGAUGUCGGUGAGAACGACACCUAUGGGAUCACAAGAAUCCCUACUAUGUUUGGCGGGGCGCGGGGUUGUGAGAAGAGCAGGUCUAACAGGAAG
rnacentral:lncRNA from 1 species